CGGAGGUCCGAGCGUUAAUCGGAAUUACUGGGCGUAAAGCGUGCGCAGGCGGUUUGUUAAGCGAGAUGUGAAAGCCCUGGGCUCAACCUAGGAAUAGCAUUUCGAACUGGCGAACUAGAGUCUUGUAGAGGGGUAGGAAUUCCAGGUGUAGCGGUGAAAUGCGUAGAGAUCUGGAGGAAUACCGGUGGCGAAGGCGGCCCCCUGGACAAAGACUGACGCUCAUGCACGAAAGCGUGGGAGCAAACAGGAUU
rnacentral:rRNA from 1 species